GUAGGGGGCAAGCGUUGUCCGGAUUUAUUGGGCGUAAAGCGCGUGUAGGUGGCCAUGUAGGUCCGCUGUGAAAACUUGAGGCUCAACCUCAAGCUGUCGGUGGAAACCACAUGGCUAGAGUCCGGAAGAGGAGAGUGGAAUUCCUGGUGUAGCGGUGAAAUGCGCAGAUAUCAGGAAGAACACCAAUGGCGAAGGCAGCUCUCUGGGACGGUACUGACACUGAGACGCGAAAGCGUGGGGAGCGAACAGGAUUAGAUACCCUGGUAGUCCGCGCUGUAAACGAUGGGUGCUAGGUGUGGGCGGUGUCGACUCCGUCCGUGCCGAAGCUAACGCAUUAAGCACCCCGCCUGGGGAGUACGGCCGCAAGGCUA
rnacentral:rRNA from 1 species